GACGACGCUGGCGGCGUGCCUAAUACAUGCAAGUCGAACGAGUGGCGGACGGGUGAGUAACACGUGGGAAUCUACACAUCAGAGGGGGAUAACACUUGGAAAAUGCUGCAAAUACUGCAUACUGAUGGAUGUACCUGCGGUGCAUUAGCUAGUAGGUGGGGUAAAGGCUCACCUAGGCGACGAUCUCUAGCUGGUCUGAGAGUAUGAUCAGCCACACUGGAACUGAGACACGGUCCAGACUCCUACGGGAGGCAGCAGUGGGGAAUAUUGCACAAUGGGCGCAAGCCUGAUGCAGCCAUGCCGCGUGUAUGAAGAAGGCCUUAGGGUUGUAAAGUACUUUCAGCGGGGAGGCGUUACCCGCAGAAGAAGCACCGGCUAACUCCGUGCCAGCAGCCGCGGUAAUUC
rnacentral:rRNA from 1 species